AGUGCGGGCCGGGCCCCUCUGGCGAGACAUGCUGUUGCGUGUGUCGUGAUGUCGGACCGCAUCG
rfam:Sphingomonas sp. 67-41 SCNpilot_cont_300_bf_scaffold_571, whole genome shotgun sequence.